rnacentral:misc_RNA from 1 species
GCAAACUUGGUCAUUUAGAGGAAGUAAAAGUCGUAACAAGGUUUCCGUAGGUGAACCUGCGGAAGGAUCAUUACUGAAGCAUAGAAGAGUUGUCGCUGCCUCGAAAGAGGAUGUGCACGCUCUUCAAUCUUCUCUUAACCACCUGUGCACUUUACCUUAGACCGUUGAUACCUUUGACUGAAAAUGUCGAUGGAGAGACUGCAGCUAAUACCUGCUUUCUUUCGAUUUCACGGUCUAUGUUUUUACACACUACGUUAAACUAUUGAAUGCUGUUAUAAGGGUUGUUAUGACCCAAUAUAAUUAAAUACAACUUUUGGCAACGGAUCUCUUGGCUCUCGCAUCGAUGAAGAACGCAGC